AGACCCGAAACCCGGUGAUCUAGCCAUGGGCAGGUUGAAGGUUGGGUAACACUAACUGGAGGACCGAACCGACUAAUGUUGAAAAAUUAGCGGAUGACCUGUGGCUGGGGGUGAAAGGCCAAUCAAACCGGGAGAUAGCUGGUUCUCCCCGAAAGCUAUUUAGGUAGCGCCUCGUGAACUCAUCUCCGGGGGUAGAGCACUGUUUCGGCUAGGGGGCCAUCCCGGCUUACCAACCCGAUGCAAACUGCGAAUACCGGAGAAUGUUAUCACGGGAGACACACGGCGGGUGCUAACGUCCGUCGUGAAGAGGGAAACAACCCAGACCGCCAGCUAAGGUCCCAAAGUCAUGGUUAAGUGGGAAACGAUGUGGGAAGGCCCAGACAGCCAGGAUGUUGGCUUAGAAGCAGCCAUCAUUUAAAGAAAGCGUAAUAGCUCACUGGUCGAGUCGGCCUGCGCGGAAGAUGUAACGGGGCUAAACCAUGCACCGAAGCUGCGGCAGCGAACGUAUCACCCAAGACAACUUUACGGAGUUGACGAUUGACGGAGCGAAGCGACGUCAAAGCGU
rnacentral:rRNA from 1 species